GUAGUCACCAAGCCUCAUCUAGUAGGACUACAGAGUGGACGGAAGACAGUAGUCACCAAGCCUCGUCUAGUAGGACUACAGAGUGGACGGAAGACAGUAGUCACCAAGCCUCGUCUAGUAGGACUACAGAGUGGAUGGAAGACAGUAGUCACCAAGCCUCGUCUAGUAGGACUACAGAGUGGACGGAAGACAGUAGUCACCAAGCCUCGUCUAGUAGGACUACAGAGUGGAGGGAAGACAGUAGUCACCAAGCCUCGUCUAGUAGGACUACAGAGUGGACGAAGACAGUAGUCACCAAGCCUCGUCUAAGUGGACUACAGAGUGGACGAAGACAGUAGUCACCAAGCCUCGUCUAGUAGGACUACAGAGUGGACGGAAGACAGUAGUCACCAAGCCUCAUCUAGUAGGACUACAGAGUGGACUAGAGACUGGACGAAGACAGUAGUCACCAAGCCUCAUCUAGUAGGACUACAGAGUGGACUACAGAUAGGACUACAGAGUGGACGAAGACCGUAGUCACC
ensembl:lncRNA